AUGAAAAUCCUGAUGGGGUUGAUCAUGAUAUACAUGCAAGCUUUGGCAUGUGGUCGGAAAUUCUUCGAGAAGGAAGAUAAUCAAUUAAAGACUCAGGUGAGCCAGGGCAUGAAAGCUCUGAUGAUGAUCUCAACAAUCUUGCACCUACUGCCGCACAAGUUCUCUCUUCUCCUCAUCUUUUGGGAAUUGCUUUUAACCAUGGAGUGCUACACAAUCUUGAGUACUUGGGACAUCUUAUCAGCAUAUGUUUCCCAUUUACUAUGGGAUCUUAUAUCAAUGCUUCGUUCUUAUUGA